rnacentral:rRNA from 1 species
UACGUAGGGGGCGAGCGUUGUCCGAAGUUACUGGGCGUAAAGCGUGCGUAGGCGGCAACAUAAGUUAUAUCUAAAAAGACUGCAGCUCAACUGCGGAACUGGGUGUAAGACUGUGUAGCUUGAGGGCAAAUAGAAGAGUGUGGAACUCCGAGUGUAGCGGUGGAAUGCGUAGAGAUUCGGAAGAACAACCCAUGGCGAAGGCAGCACUCUAGAUUUGACCUGACGCUGAGGCACGAAAGCCAGGGGAGCAAACGGG